rnacentral:rRNA from 1 species
GAUGAACGCUGGCGGCGUGCCUAAUACAUGCAAGUCGAGCGAACAGAUGAGGAGCUUGCUCCUCUGACGUUAGCGGCGGACGGGUGAGUAACACGUGGAUAACCUACCUAUAAGACUGGGAUAACUUCGGGAAACCGGAGCUAAUACCGGAUAAUAUAUUGAACCGCAUGGUUCAAUAGUGAAAGACGGUUUUGCUGUCACUUAUAGAUGGAUCCGCGCCGCAUUAGCUAGUUGGUAUGGUAACGGCUUACCAAGGCAACGAUGCGUAGCCGACCUGAGAGGGUGAUCGGCCACACUGGAACUGAGACACGGUCCAGACUCCUACGGGAGGCAGCAGUAGGGAAUCUUCCGCAAUGGGCGAAAGCCUGACGGAGCAACGCCGCGUGAGUGAUGAAGGUCUUCGGAUCGUAAAACUCUGUUAUUAGGGAAGAACAAAUGUGUAAGUAACUAUGCACGUCUUGACGGUACCUAAUCAGAAGGCCACGGCUAACUACGUG